AAUAGAUACCCUGGUAGUCCACGCCGUAAACGAUGAGUGCUAAGUGUUAGAGGGUUUCCGCCCUUUAGUGCUGCAGCUAACGCAUUAAGCACUCCGCCUGGGGAGUACGGCCGCAAGGCUGAAACUCAAAGGAAUUGACGGGGGCCCGCACAAGCGGUGGAGCAUGUGGUUUAAUUCGAAGCAACGCGAAGAACCUUACCAGGUCUUGACAUCCUCUGCCAACCCUAGAGAUAGGGCGUUCCCCUUCGGGGGACAGAGUGACAGGUGGUGCAUGGUUGUCGUCAGCUCGUGUCGUGAGAUGUUGGGUUAAGUCCCGCAACGAGCGCAACCCUUGAUCUUAGUUGCCAGCAUUCAGUUGGGCACUCUAGGGUGACUGCCGGUGACAAACCGGAGGAAGGUGGGGAUGACGUCAAAUCAUCAUGCCCCUUAUGACCUGGGCUACACACGUGCUACAAUGGAUGGUACAAAGAGCUGCGAACCCGCGAGGGUAAGCCAAUCUCAUAAAGCCAUUCUCAGUUCGGAUUGUAGG
rnacentral:rRNA from 1 species